AAAAGUAGAGGCAUUAACAUUUGUCAUCUCUCCUGAAAAAUUAUUUCCAUCCAAAUAUAAAUUCUCCACCCCAUUCGCGCUGAGAAUCACAGGAACUACAUUUCCACUGAAGUUGUUAUUUGAUAGUUUCAAAAUGAUCAGUGAGCCUUUCGUGAUCAACUCUUCUGGUACUUUUCCAUACAAUUGAUUGUUUGAUAGAUCUAAAAAUGAUAAGUACUUCAUGCCACUUAAACAAAGUGGGAUAUUACCUUCAAAAGCAUUCUUGGAUAAGAGUAACCGCCUCAAAUGUGGAAAAGUUGAACAUAUACCAGUCGGAAUUUGACCUUGUAAUUUGUUUUCAGAUAUGUCAAUUGAAGAUACAUUAGAAAUAAGAGCUGACGAACGUGAGAGAGGACCUGUAAAUGAAUUACCCUUCAAGAUGAGUUCUUCUAACUUUGUGUUGUUUUCUAGCAACCAAGUUGGUAAAGUUCCACUGAGAUUGUUAUGAGAAAGAUCCACAUAUCUCAAGUCAUAUUGGUAGUAAAGGAAGGUAGGAACUUUUCGACUGAGUUGUUGAGAUGUUAUGCACUUUGACAAACUGAUGACUUCCAAUUGGAACUUUGGGAUUGAGGUAUAAAAGGAAGGUUCCAAUACCAUUUUGUUUUCAUUACUGGAGAGGGCUUUGAGGUUUGAAAGGUUUGCAAAUGGUGCAAAUGACAGUGGAAUUUGAAAAUGGUUUCUUGAAAUAUCUAACACACGAAGAGAUGUCAAGUUACUAAAACAAUGAGGAAGCAUCCCCUCAAGUGCAUUCUCACUCACUUCCAACACUUCAAGGUUCCUUAGAUCACACCAUCCUGAAAAUUUUAUAAAUUCAUGGAAGAAGUUUCAAUUAAAUCUUGUUUUAUAAAACAGAAUAGGAUAUAAUAUAUUACAGAAAGCACAUACAGCAAUCAAUUUGAGCCAUAAAAUUAUUUACCUUGAUUAGGUAAGGGACCAAUAAGUCCACAAUCAGAUAAAGACAAUGUUUUAAGAGAAGCAAAUACUCCAAUGCUUUGCAAAAUGUUGGUGUUGAGAGUAGAAUUGUCAAGAUAUAUUUCCUCCAAAUUGCUCAACACAUUUGAAUCUAAGCAAUGUCAAGAGGUAUUAGAUAACGGUAUUAUAGAAAGCCUCUACUAAGUGAAAUGCUUUAUUUUCUGUGAAUGAAAUGAAAUAUAUAAAUUUUUUUUAUGAGUGUUAGACUAUUCAUGAUUAUCUGAGAUAAAUUUUGAUGGAGAGAAGAUGUUGAAACUUUAAUAUAACUCUUCAUCCAUUUUAUUAAUUAUACUAUUUUUUUUCUUUUUAGUAUUUUCUUAUAUUAUUUUUUAAUAUAAGUAAUUAACUGAUAUGGCUAAUUUGUAUAAUUUUCAAACUCCAAUCAACAACACUAUAAAUAAUAUUUAUAAAAUAAAACAUUUCUACACUAAAAUUAUUAUAUUACCUUUAAAGUUACCAAUACUUUAAAAAAAAAUAAAAAUAGGUAUUUUACUCACCAAUAAAUAAAAUUCAAAAAUAUAUUUAUAUAUGAAAUUAAAAAAUUUAUAUGUAUUUUUACUUUAAAAAAAUAAAAACAGGUAUUUUACCAAUACUCUAAUAUGUAUUUUUAUGUUUUAUACUAUUAAAAAUAUAUGAAAUUAAAAUAUAGUUAUAUUACAUAUUUUCUCAUAAAUAUAUGUUUUUAUUUAUUUAUAAUAUCAUUUUUUUAUUGUUAUAAUCAUUUUUUAUCUCAUAAAAAUUCAAUAAAUUAUUUUAAAAAAUAUAUUUAUACAAACAAAAUAAUUAUAAACAUUAAUAUUUAAAAAUUAUGAAAAAUUUAAAGAAUUUUAGUUUCAAACCAAAGUCGAAACACAUUAUAAUGGAGGGUUUAGAAAAUGUUUCACCAAACCCAUAUUUUACUUUCAAGUAUGAUAUGAUAUAACUUUAUUAAUAUUUAUGACAAUAACUGUUAUUAUAAUAUCUGAGAUCAAAACUAAAUUUCUAAAUUAAAAAAGAAAAGGAAAUUUAAUUAAAUGAUACCUUGGUGGAUCACAAAAUCUCUCAAUUCAUUAUAGCUCAUAUCUAGUUCCCUUAAUUUGAUAAAUGCUUCCAAAUCUAGGAAAACAAAAACAACAAAUUAAUCAACUCCAUUAUAUUCUCUUAAAACAUUAUUAUAUUCUUGUUAAAAAACUAAUAUUUUUACCUUUCAUAUCUAUUGAUCCUUUCAAUUGAUUGACCCUUAUGCUCAACGAUUUCAAAUUUGAAAGCUUGUUAAGGGAUGCAAAUGCACUAGUAUUGAAGAGAUUUCCAUCUAAAUUAAGCUCUUCCAAGUGGGUCAACUCCAAUUUUCUACCACCAUCUACAAAAGAUUUAUAUAAUUUCAUCACUGAAAUGAAUUGGCAUAAAAUUUAAUUAUAUGUAAGAAUUUAGGUAAUUGGUUAAAUAUAAAUGCAUACCUUUAAAGGAUUGAAAGCUUUCAAUUUGAUUCCCACUUAAAUCGAGUUUCUUCAAAUUUGUUAAAUUGCUCAAUCCUAUACAUAUCCACGUCCAAUUUAAAAAAUCAUUAUGUUAAUAAUUUUAAUUUCUACUUAAUAUUUUAAUGAAAUAAAAAUGAAAAAGAAAGUAAAUCUAAAACUUGAAGUGAAGAUGAAAAUCCUCAAACGUGAAAUGUGAAUGUUCAAAAUUAAAACAAUUGAUUUUAAAAGGUUCUAGAAAGAAUUAUCAAGAAAAACAAAGUUAUAGCUUUAGUACCUUUAGUAUCUAAUGAGCCUUGCAAACUGUUCGACCUCAUAUUCAAGGACUUUAGGCUUGAAAGCCCUUGAAGAAAGGAAAUUGUGUUGUUCCGAAAGAGAUUACCACUCAAAUCAAGUUCCUCUAAGUUUGUUAGCCUCAAUUGUGUUCCAUCUAUCAUUGGAAGAAAAUAAUAUCAUUCAAGAUAAAAAUAGUUAGGAAAAAUGAUUGUUUGAGAAGGAAGAGGCAAUUUACAAGCUUUCCCAUGAAUUGAUAACUACAUUUUACAAGUAAAACUUAAUUGAUUCAAUAUAUAAAUACUUUGUUUGAGAUACCUUCCUAUUUUGAAAUACUGCAACAUUAACUGUCCCUUAAACAAAAAUUGGUUUUAAAGUGAAAAAGAAACAUAUAAAAGCAGUCCACCUUUAAUAUGAAUUGACAUAUAAAUACUGUACUUAUACCUUGGUUUGAGAUGCUUUCAAAUUUCAAUUCUGUUCCAACUUAAAUCCAAGUAUUUCAAGUUUGUCAAAUUAUUCAAUCAUAAAAUUCAAUCCCAAAUAUUGAUUAGUUAUAUAUUCAUCGUAUGAUGAAAUCAAACUUGAAUAUACAUUGAUUUUUAAAGUUGAAAAGAAACAGGUAAAAUCAGUCUACCUUGAAUAUGAUCCAUCCUUCCUUUCAACUCAUUACCACUCAAUCUUAAAGUCUUCAAGGAUGAAAGAUUUCUCAUAUGGAACAAAAUGCUAUUCUUCAAAGAAUUCCAACUUAAAUCAAGAGUUUCCAAGUUAUUGAGUCUUGAAAGCAAUUGAAAACCUGAUAUAUAUACAUAAUUACUUGUUAAUUGUUUUUUUCUUUCUUUGCUAUAUGAAAAUUUUACUAAAGCAAUAGUGGAAUUACAACGGAUAAAAAGAAUGGAAAACUAGGUACCAAACCCAGAAGACCAUCCUCAAACUCCACUAUACAAAUAAAAACUAACACCAGACCAAACUUAAUUUACCUCUUAGAUGACUUGAUCCUUCUAAUUUGUUGUGUGAUAGAUCUAAAUACCGGAGAGAUGAAAGCUCACUCAAAGAUAACAAAAUGCUGUCAUUCAAGUAGUUUUCACUUAAGUCAAGGAUCUCCAAAUUACUCAACGUGGAUGAUAGUUUUCCAAAGCCUAUAGAAAUAUUCUUUUAAAUAUAUACAAGUUAGUGACUUUUCUUCCAUAAAAUAAAAUAAAAUAUAAGUAAUUGCAAAUUAACGAUGGUGAGAGUAGUGGAAUAAUAAAAGAUGUAAUUAAGGAAAAACUAGAGGCACGACCUUCAUUUUCAAGAUUACCACUUAUGGCAUUCCCCGACAAAUAAAGACUCUUCAAUUCCUCAAAGGGAAGAAACAUAGAGGCAUUGAGAUACCAGGCAUUGAGAUUCCUAUUAUCCAUGUCGUAUUCCCAUUUUGUAGAAUUAAGGGAGAGUUGUAUGAGUCUCCUAGUGGUGGUGUUACACUCAACUCUUUCCCAUUUACAACAAUCUGAACCCUUCACCUCAACCCAACUAUUCAAUUGAUUACCAUCAUUGAAGAAAGGUUUGAGAUGCAAGAGAGCGAUUCUCUCAUGCUCCAAACAAGCAUCAGUAGUACACCAUCUGCAUCCUUCUAACACCAACAACAUUACUGCCAUCCUAAUAAACCUUAACCAUUUCCACUUCAUCAUCAUCAUCAUCUCUCUGUUUUCACUUCUCUCUCAGCUAUAUGUUACUUUUUUUUAACUUCUAUAUGUAUAUAAUCUAAAGAAGCCUAAGCUUCUUAUUUAUAUACAAGCAGAUGCAUCCCACUAACUCACUAUAAUGUAAAAAUAAUAUAUAAUUAAUUAAUUCCUCAAAAAUUGGAUCAAAAUCUAGGCUUCUUAUUUACGUAAAUUAUUUAUUGCAAAAACUCUUAGUGGAAAUUCGUUAGGAAGGGAUGAAGGGGCCACAAGAAUAUUGAUGUUAAUCUUGAAAAACGAAUGGCCAAAAAAAUAUGAAAAGUGAGAGGUGGACAUAAAAUCGUAUAGUUGGGAUUGCAAAAGUCUUCAUGUGGCUUUCUUGUGAGUUUCAUUUAUACCCUUCUUACACUUAUACAAACUUAGUCUUGACUUGGCUUUAUUAAUGGAAAAUUUAGGUCUUCAUUUUUGGUUUUAUUCAUAGAAAUUUUACUUCUUUGAUUUUGGUUUUAUUAAUGGAAAUUUUAAGUCUUCAGUUUGCUUUUAUUCUUGCACAUUUUAGGUUUUGAUUUUGAAAAUUUAGUUUUUUCAUCUCUAUUAUUAUAAAAUUUCUUAAUUUAAUUAAUAUCAUGAGUUAAUUUAAUACUUUAAAAAAUAAAAUAUUACAUUCACUAUUUUUUAAAAAAUAAAAGUAACUAUAAAAUUUUAUUAUUUAUAUAAUAUUUAAAAAAAAACUAUUUAUUUCUACUAGACCACUACUUUAAAACUAUCCAUUAUCAUAUUGUAAUAGGCCCAAUUUGCCCGGGCCCGGUAAAUAAAUAAAACCAAUAAAAUCAAAUAAAAAAUAGUCCCAAAACAGUCCAUUUACAAUGACCCAAUACCAACCCAAUGGCCUAAAUCUCUACCCAAGCCCGAAUCUAAACCUAAACAGGCCCAAAACCCACUAAACCUAAUGGCCCAAUACCCAGCUUGGCUGAGACAAACCCUAGCCUUCAGCAGCUUUCUGCUCUUGCGCUGCAGCCAAGCCGCUCCUCACGUACGAGCCUCAUUCAUGCGCCGCACCGAGCAACGCCAUCGCCAGGGACCACGCCUGUACUGUGCCACGCGAGCCUCCGUACAUGCGCGCCCGUUCACCUCUGUACCAGUACCUGCAAAUACACACAAGAAGCAGCGAAGCAACAAAAAAAAAGAGAAAAUAGCAGUAGAAAAAUAGGGGAUUUUCAGUUUUUAUUUGAUUUUUCUGGCUAUAAAAGCCAAACACGCAGAUUGUAUCAUAGGGGGAACUCACGCAUAUUGCAAAAAAACAAGGGGCAGAAAAUCAAUACAAAAAAAAAAAGAAAAGGUUUUCUCUUCCUUCAGGUCUCUUUUCUUCUCCAAUUGUUUCUUUUCUUUUUCGAUUGUUAUUAGCCUCAUAUAAGUAUAGAUAUAUAUAGAGUAAAUAAUAACAAAAAGGGGGGGUUAAAACGUACCUGGUGAUGCCUUUGAAUCCACGCGAAGAAGCCAAAAAGCCUUGAAUGGUGAGGCUCCGACCACCAUUCGCAGUGGAAUCAAGGCGGAGGGGCGGACUGACGGCACUGAAGACUAGGGUGAAACCCUAGCAGAGGAAACAAUAAGCAAUUUUUUUUAAAAACGAGUCUGCUAAUGUUUUUUUUAGGGUAAAUUUUGUUUAAAUAAUGAUACAAUACGGAGCCGUUUUGGGCUAGGGUUCCUAGCGUCCAAACGACGUCGUUUAGAGGCCUUACCCAAUGACCCGAUCCAGAUGGCGGCUAGAUCCGCGUGUUUGGUAGGGGGAGGGGAAAUUUCGCGAAGAGUCCCUCUUGUUUUGUGCCGUUUCGGUUUGAUUUUCUUCAUUGUUUUUAAUUUGAAUCGCGUAUUUUAUUUUGUUUUCAAUUUGAUCCACAGUUAAACGGCGCCGUUUUCACUAAUCGGAUUUGAGCAUCCGAACAUUUGUGUUUAUUUUCUGUUUUAGUCCUCUCUGUUAUUUUUUAUUAUGAUUUUUACCCUCCUAUUUUAUUUUCACCCUAAUUUAGUCCCGAAACUGUUAGAUUUCACUUUAUUUAUGCAAUGUAUAUAUUUAUUUAUUUUAAACUUUAUAUUAUUUAUUUUAAAUCGUUCUAUUACUAUUUAUUUUAAGCCUUUUUUACAUAUUAUAUGUUUUAAAUUAUGUUAAUCAAUUAUUCAUUUUAAAUAUAUAUUAUUUAUGUUAAACUACAAAUGUAUAUUAUUUAUUUGGAAUUGUUCUUAUGCACAUCAUGCAUUAUCAUUUUUAAAAAAAUAAUAAUAAUAGAAUUUGUUUGCAUAUUGUUCAUUUAGGAUUCCUUCUCACACAUUACUUAUUUUAAACGUUUUACAUAUUAUUUUAAAUUGUUUUAUAUGUUUUUUUUUAAAUGCUUUGAAGAUUAUUCAUUUUAACUUGUUUUACACAUUAUUUUAAUAUGUAUGGAAUUGCUUUAAUAUAUAUAUACGUGAAUAAAACGUAUUGUAACUGGUAAUUUCUAAAAUUUUAUUCUACGUUUUAAAAUUUUUAUCAUUUCGAUUAUGUUGAUUGGUUUACUUGGGAUUAAAUUAUUAUUGCAUUGAUUAUUCUUUUUUUUGAUUUUUUUGUUAGAUUGAUUAUUAGUUUAUUUGAUUAUCAAUGUUGAUGUAUUAUAUGUUUGGUUGCUCCAAAUUGUAAAUUUAGCUUGCUAUUCACCAUUUGAUUAGUAUAUUGAUAUUUUAUUAUAUUGUUUGUAAAAAUUGCAUUUCAUUAAAGCAUUACAAUUGUUUUAUUUCAAAAUUCUCAAAAAGCUUGGUAUUUAAAAAUUCUCGAGAGGAUUGUGCCCUAACUUACUGGGCUUACCUUUUUUAAUUUGAACAUAGAAGUUUCAAAAUAAAAGCUCAUUCUCGGGAAUUUGACACGUUGUGUCCUAACGCAUUGAAUAUGACUAUUAUUUUCUCGAGAUGAGGAUUUUAAGGCAAUGUUCGAUAUUUAGGAAUUUUGUGAAAUCGAACCCUAACUUACUGGGUUUUGAUUUUCUCAUUUGACCCAGAUAAUCGGACAUCCUCCUCAAAAUGCAUAGGUUUUAAAAGACGAGAGAUAAACUUAACUUGGAGGACUUAAAAUGUUGCACUCUAACUUACUAAGGGUGACGAUUUAUUUCUUUGAAAUAAGUGAGUCUCGUCGUCCAAUUCAUUUUAUUCAAAAUAAAAGGAUCAAAUUUUAAAAUCUUUUCAAAAUUUUGACAUUAAGACAUUAAACAUUCCAAUCGGUACCAAUUUUGGGCGUCACGAGGGUGCUAACCCUUCCUCGUGCGUAACCAACUCCCGAACCCGUUUUCUCAAAAAUUCGCAGACCUAAAAUUAUUUUCAAGGUGAUCCGCACACCACAAUAAAAGAUCGGUGGCGACUCCAUUUCCAUUUUCAAAAUUGAUCCCCAUUUUUCAAAUUACAAAAAAAUGGCUUCGACACAUAUAACUUCUCUUUAAUAAUUCACUAUUCUUUGAACAUUCAUUAGUUUUUGAAACAUAAAAUUUAUAAAUAAUUAUUUUUAGAGUAAACUACACCCAUGGUCACUUUUGUUUACCUUAGGUUACAUUUCAGUCACUUAUGUUUGAAAUGUUACGUUUUAGUCACUUAAGUUAUUGUGUUGUAACAUUUUAGUCACUGAGCCGUUAGUUGUCGUUAAUGGCUGACGUGGCACGUUAAAUUAUCAUUUCAAACAAAAACUUUAGGUUAAAUUAUACAAUUGGUUUCCAUAAUUUUUCGUUUUGAGCAAUUUAAUUCUUUUAUGCUCUUUAACUUUCUUUCUUUUUUUUCUUUAUUUUCCAUUCUCUUCUGCUUCUCCCUGUUUUCCUACAUUCUUUAUUUCUUUUAACAUAUCAGGAAGUCGAAUUGGUAGUGAAGAAAGAAGCAUGGUAUGGGUUUAUGGGCUUUGGUUAUGGGCAAAUGAUGACAGUCGACUUCCUACUUCUUUUUUCACUGUCAAUUCGACUUCCUAAUAUGUUAAAAGAAAUGGGAAAAGUAUGAAAACAGAGAGAGAAACAAAAAAGAAUGGAAAAAAAGAGGAAAGUUUAAAGAACAUAAAAGAAAAAAAAUUAAAUUACUUAAAACGAAAAAAAUAUGGGGAUCAAUUGUAUAAUUUAACCUAAAAUUUUGUUUGAAAUGAUGAUUUAACGUGCCACGUCAGCUUACCGUUACACCAUUAACGACGAUUAAUCGCUCAGUGACUAAAAUUUUACAACAUGAUAACAUAAAUGACUAAAACGUAACAUUUUAAACAUAAGUGACUAAAACGUAACCUAAGGUAAAUAAAAGUGACCAUGGGUGUAGUUUACCCUUAUUUUUAAUAUGACUUGAUUUUUACUUGAAUCAUUUUUGUAAUUAGUUAAUUAAAUUGGGUUAUUUUAAAAAAAUCCUCUUAACUAAUAGCCAAAAAAAAAAAAGCCAUCAUGUAGAAAAUUCUGGUUUGUUGGAAAAAUAAAGACUUGACCUAUUACUUUAGAUUUUGAAAUGUUCAACUUGAUAUUGACAUAUGAUAAUAUGUACAAAUUUCUCAUUCUUUUAAAUUUCAGUGAUAUUACAUGUAUGAUAAUAUGUUUGCCACACCAAAUUUGAAAAUAGUAGAACUUAAUGAAUUUAACAGAUAUCUAAAAUAUCAAAUUAAAGUCUAGGAAUUAAAGCUACAACAUCAGUAAAGUACAAGAACUAUGGUAGAAUUAAACCUUUAUAUAAUAAUUUCCUUCUAUGAACCACAAUUCAAGUGCACCCGACAAGCUAAUUAAUAAAAAUUUAGUGGUAGAAUAUGUAUAUUCUUGUGGGUGGAAAUUUAGUGGAGAUGCCCAUCAUCUUUCCUAAUUAAUAAAAAUGAAGACUUAGAAAAUGUGCAAUCAUAAUCCUAGUUGUCGUUAUGGCCCCAAGAAUAGGUAUAUUAAUUUGUCUCUCUUCAGGAUCAAAGAUAAAUAAUAAAUUUUAUAAAGUUAAAACCAUAAUUCUAUAAUUAUAUUAAUGUAUAAUUUCAUAAAAUUUUAAAAAAUGUAUCUUUCAACUUUUUUAAGUAAAUUGAUAAUUCGUUAACUCAUAAUAUUUUUUUUUUCAAAAUAUUUAUGAGAACGAGUUCGUAUUCUAUUGUGUGGAAAAUUUUAGUACAGAUAUUGGUGAAGCCAAAUCCAACUUGUUUGACCAAGAAAGUCUCUGUCGUGUGGAAAAUUUUAGUUUUGUGGAAAAUGGACAUUACCAUUUCCUUGAAUGACCAUCAAUUUCUCCAUUGAGAUAUAGUAAGAGGGAGUGAAAUAUAUAUAAGGUAAUAUUUAAUGUAUUCACACCAAAUUUCAUUAAUGAGUAAAACAAAUAAUGAAUAAUAAUGAAAAUUGGAGGAAAUUGUUAAGAAAAUAUCAUUACAUAUAUCAACACUCACAUAAUUCAUUGUAUUAACUUUCAAAUGUUGACUAUUGACUUCUACAUCAACCUUGAGCUUAUAUAGGCCCCCCUCACGGAAAUAAUCUCACAUUUAAUGCCUAGAGGUGCUUAUGGGCCGGGCCGGGCCCAGAAAAAAUUUUAGCCCGGGCCCGGCUCGGCCCGAAAUAUGGGCCUGAAAUUUUGCCCAAGCCCGGCCCGGUAAAAAAUUCAUAAGCCCGAGCCCGGCCAUUUUUUAAAUAAAUACCAAAAAUUUAUUUUAAAAUUAAAAAAAUUUAAAAAAAGUAUUUUAAAAAUAUUUUAAAUAAAUACCAAAAAUUCACCCUGCAUCUAAAAGGAGGUCCAGCACUCGAAUCCCAUUCCCCAUAACUAAAAACCAUGUCACUGUGACUUGGUCAUAUCUCCGUUCAAAGUCGGACAUGGGUAGUUAAAGAAAAAUGAAGAGUCGAUGCAUGAUAGACUAAGGACUAGCUCAAAAGUGCUUUUAGAAAAAAUUGCUCUUGAAAAGAGGUGUGGAAAAGUGUGCUUGUUAGUUUUUAGUGUUGUUCAUUGCUGCCAAAAAUCGCAAUUGAAAGUUAAAAUGUUCUUUUUAGACAUGAUAGUAGAAAGUAAAAAAUUAGUCAAGUCAUAUGAUUUUUAAAUAAUUUAAUAUAAUGAUACAUGAAAUAUAACUUUUAAAUACCUUUUAAGUAAUUAAUAUAAAUUAGUUGUAAAAUUGAUAAUAUAUAAAAUAUUUUGAAAAAAAUAAAUAUAAUAAUAAAUAAGAUUUAAACAAUUUAAUAUAAUAAUAUAUAAAAUAUAAAUUAAUCUAAUUUUUAUAUACCUUUUAAAUAGUUAAUGAAAAUAAUAGUAUUUUGAUAAUUUUCCCUUUGAAAUGCAAAAGCCAAAAACAGUUUUUGACUACAAAAGCUAUGUGUUGUUCAUCACUUCUGCAGUGGAAAAACACUUCUCCAUGGUGUAAAAACACUUUUACCCAAAAAGGCUUUUUCACCACAGUAGAGAAUGCACCCUAAAAUUGUAAAUAGAAAAAGGAAGAACCAAACAUUGUUUCUACCCUGUUUUUGUCUCCUCUUUGAAAAUACUUUCCAAAAGUUUUAUCAUUUUUUUUUCUGUUUACGAUGCCUUAAAUGCAAAUUCCUUAUAGAAGUGCUUUCUUUUGAUCCACUUGCAUCAUUGUAAUAAGUUUGCAUUGCCUUCUUUCUAUGUUGAUUAUCGUUUAUUAAGUUUUCUGUUGGAUCUUAUAGUCAAAUUCCUUUACAUCAUGUAUGUUAAUUUGCUUAGCCCUGAUAAAUGUUAGAUAUAGGGUUAUCAGCUAAUUAGGAAAGACUGUAAUGAUAGUCACACCUUACAUCCAAAUUUUUACAUUGAGGUUCCUUAUUAUUUUUUCUUGUUUCACCAAUUGCAUCCUAUUUACAGUUCCUUAGCGUUAUCCACUGUGCUAGGGUGGUUCUUGUUCAUAUAUUAAUCACCAUGCGCCUUCAGCAAAUGCAAAGCCAGCCAGCAUCUUCUGAUUUGUCAUUGGAUACUACACUUUCAGCAAAUGUAAAGCCGCCAGAUUUUCAGCUGUUUUUAGAAGGUCAAGACACAACAAGAGCAACAUAUGUUGUAUUCUUGUCAAACAAGAUAAGUUUUCGCAUAUUAACGAUUCUUUUUCCAAGAUGAAUUAUUCUCCUGUUGCAUUUUUAUUUGGGUUCAAAUGUUCUGUGAAGUUAGCUUGCCAGUGCUUGUUUGUUCAUCAGCAUUUACAGCUCAUUUGUCAUUGGUCAGCAGAAUUUCCGCUGUUUUUAGAAGGUCAAGACACAACAAGAUCAGCAUAUGUUGUAUCUAACAUUUAUAUUCAACAACUGGAAACCAUGUCAUAAAUACAUAUGAAAAAUAUUUAAAAAUCCUUGGUUGAAUACUCGUGCACUAACAUUUUUUAAAAGUUAAUUUUGUGUUACUUUUUUCAUCUCUAUUAUUAUAAAAUUUCCUGAUUUACUUGAUAUCACGACUUAAUUUAGCAUUUAAAAAAUGGAAUAUUACAUUCACUAUUUUUUUAAAAAUAGGAGUAACUAUCAAAAUUAAUUAUUUAUAUAAUCUUUUUUAUAAAAACUAUUUAUUUCUACUAAACCACUACUUUAAAACUACCCAUUAUCAUACAACUUCUCUUUAAUAAUUCACUAUUCUUUCAAACAUUCAUUAGUUUUUCAAACAUAAAAUUUAUAAAUAAUUAUUUUUACCUACAUUUUGAAUGAUGCAAUUUCUAACUAUACACUAAAAUACUCCAUUUAUCAAUUUAAUUUAAUUCAAAGAAUUAUGAUAAUAAUUGAAAUUUCAAAAAAGGAAAAAAACUAGAUAAUUGAAUAUUUAUAUACAAAAAUAAAACAAACAAGACAGACUUAAGCUUUCUUACCCCAAAGACAAGAUCUUUAUUCAAAAUGCAAAACUAGCAAAAUACUCCCUAAAAUUCAUCUAAACACAUCUUCUAAAGAUGUAAUACCCAAGAAGAUUGCCCACAGUUGGUGAUGCACUUCCCAACGAAAGAAAACCAAACUCCUCGCCAAUAUGGAUUUAUGUAAAGGAUAGCAACAAUUGUUAACAACAUAACUACAUAAGAAGCCAAAAAGCUCACACAAAAAACAUAUGUGUCUAGAAAACUAUCUUCUCUUUCAUCAUCUGAUAUUGUUGAUAUUGAACCGGUUUUGGAGCAACUUAUAUGAAGUAUAGGUCCACAGAGAAAAGGGUUCCCCUCGUAACUGCUUUCAAUGAAAGUCCCAAAUUGGUUUUGUUCUGGAAUACUACCUGACAAGUUGUUGUGUGCAACACUGAAAACCCCCAGAGAGUUCAAAUCUACCAGCUGGUUUGGGAUUUCACCACUCAAGUUGUUGUAAGAAAGAUCCAAACUCUCAAUCUGCUUAAGUUUUGAGAAUGAUGAAGGUAUAACUCCGACCAACUUAUUGCGUGACAAGUUCAAAGAAUGGAUUUCACGCAAGUUCCCUAAUUCAAGUGGGAUUUGACCAGUUAACUCAUUGCAAGAUAAAUCAAUCCCAGACAUGUAUUCAAGGAUGUCGCCUCCAUAUGAGAAAGAUCCACUCUUUGUGGUAAACUCUACCGAUUCUUUCAUGUAGCUAUAGGAAUGCAUCAUGUGCUCGAAAAGUAUACCCGUCUUUAAUAGUUUCAAUUCAUCCAGUUCUGAAAAUGUUGGCGACAUUAAAUCUGGUGUCAUGGUCUUAUCCUUAUUCAUUGGAAGAGUUAAAUUUCCCAAACAAGAAGGUAUAGGACCGGAAAACCUAUUUUGAGAAAGAUCUAUAAUGCUCAAGGAAUACAAGGUGCAUAACUGGACUGGAAUUCUUCCCUGUAAAUGAUUAGCUUUCAAGAGAAGGACACUCAAAGAAGAAAGUGUGUCGAUCCAUUUUGGAAUACCACCAGUAAAAUUGUUUCCUCUAAGAUCUAAUGUCACUAGUGAAGUGCUUUUAUUAAAAGCAAGUGACAAUGGACCACCCAGUCUAUUAUUGUGCAGGUGGACAUGCUCUAGGUUUGGAGGAUUAAAACAAGAUGGUAUAGAGCCAGAUAAAUUAUUUUCAGAAAGAUCCAAAAAUUUGAAGUUAUUCAAGUUGCAAAAUUCCACUGGAAUAGAACCCUCGACACCAUUGUUAGACAAGUCUAAUCUCUCCAAAAGUGACAUAUUCCCUAUCCAUCUUGGAAGCUUUCCAUGCAAUCUGUUGUUACUGAGAUCAAUAUCUGUUAGUGAUGUUGGAAACUGAAAAGUAGAGACAUCAAAAUUUGUCAUCUCUCCAGAAAAAUUAUUUCCAUCCAAAUAUAAUUUUUGUAACCCAUUUGCAUUGAGAAUCACAGGAACUACAUUUCCAUUGAGGUUGUUGUUUGACAGUCUCAAAAGAAAUAGUGAGCUUUUCCUGACCAACUCUUGAGGUACUUUUCCAGCCAAUUGAUUGUUUGAUAGAUCUAACAUUGACAAAUUCUUCAUGGCGCUUAAACAAGGAGGGAUAUUGCCUUGAAAGGCAUUCUUGGAUAAGAAUAACUGCUCCAAAUGUGGAAAAGUUGAACAUAUAUUGGUUGGAAGCGGACCUUGUAUUUUGUUGUCAGACAUGUCGAUUGAAGAUACAUUUGAAUUAGGAGUCGACAGUAAUGUGAGAGGACCUGUAAAAGAAUUACCCUUCAAGAUGAGAUCUUCUAACUUUGUGUUGUUUUCUAACAACCAAAAUGGGACAGUUCCACUGAAAUUGUUCUGAGAAAGAUCCACAAAUCUCAAGUCAUUUUGGUAGUAAAGGAAGGUAGGAAGUUCAAGACUGAGUUGUUGAGAUGUUCUGCACUUGGACAAACUAAUGAAUUUCAAUUGGAAUUUCGGGACUAAGGUGUGGAAGGAAGGUUCCAUUUCCAACUUGUUUUCAUCAGCCAAGAGGACCUCAAGGUUUGGAAAGUUUGCAAGUGGUACGAAUGAAAUUGGAAUUUGAAAAUGAUUACUUGAAAGAGAAAUGGCUCUGAGUGAUGUAAGACUUGCUAAAGGAGUUAGAUUUCCGGAAAAUCGAUUGUUGGAGAUAUCUAACUCACGAAGAGAUGUCAAGUUACUGAAACAAUGAGGAAGCAUCCCCUCAAGUGCAUUCCAACUCACAUCCAACACUUCAAGGUUCCUUAGAUCACACCAUCCUGAAAAAUUUAUGAAAUCAUGGAAGAAUUUCUAAUUAAAUUUGGUUUUCUAAAACAGAAUAGGAGAAAUCAGAUAAAGAAAAGGUCGUAUAGAAAAUUUUACCGUGAUCAGGUAAGGAACCAAUAAGUGCACACCUAUAUAGAGACAAAGUUUGAAGAGAAGUGAAUACUCCAAUGCUUUGCAAAAUGUUGAUGUUGAGACGAGAAUAAUCGAGAUUUAUUUCCUCCAAGUUGCUUAAUUCUAAUCAAUGAAAAGAGGUAGUAGGUGUUAAUGAAACGUAAGUUGUUUUGGAAUAGAAGAAGUAUUAGAUGUUAAUCAAGAAAAGGUGUUUACCUGAUGAGAAAGCCUCUACUAAGUUUUCUAGCGGAAUGCUAUCGUCGGUGACAAUACUUUGGAGACGAAGAACUUUUAACUUUUUCAAUCCCUUGUUUUCUGUGAGCGAAAAUAUUUUGAUAAAAAUUGUGAAAACUUCAACAUGAUUGCACUAAUUGUUUUUCUUUUCUUUCUAGCAUUUUAAGAUAAAUAAUGUGUAAAAUAGAAUUUUCCUUUAUUGAGAUCAUUAUAUUACUUUAAAUUUAUCACCACUAAAUAGAAAAUUAUUAUUAAAUCAAAGUUUUAAAUUUAUUAUUACUUAAAUGUUGUUUAUGCUGGGUGAUUUUGAUGAGAAUAAUUUAUUAUAUAAAAAUAAAAGUAUAUUUCUUAAAGUAAAAUAAGAGAAAUAUUUUAAAUUUUUUUGAAAGUGUUUAUAUACAUAUUACACUUAAUCACUCUUUUGAAAAUUCUAAUUACUCUUUUAAAUUUUAUGUUAAUUUUAAAAAGUAUAUAUAAUUUCAACAGAAAUAUUACUUUAAUAUUAAAAUGAAGAGCUUUUGUGGGUAAAAAAAAUUAUAUGAGUUUAUUUAAUUACAAAAAUAAUUUAAGAAUUUAUUUAAAAAAUAUGUAGUUGUUUUAGGCUCGAUCCUAGGGGUUAUUUGAGAGUGCGGUCGCCCAGGGCUGGAAGGGGCCCAAUUUUUUUUUCAGAUUUUAAUAUGGGAAAAUAUUCAGACUAAAAUAAAUAAAUAAAUUGCCUAGAGCUUUCAAAUUUUCACCAUAAAUACUUCAUCUCCUAUGGCUAAAAAAUUUUUCAGCUUUUAUUGUAUUACAUUUUAUAAUAUUUUUAAAAAGACUCGUUUAAAGACUUUUUUAAGUAUAUUAACCUAUUUUAAAAUUCCACAUUUUUAAAAUGUCUUAAUUUUCAAAUUAAAGUACAAACACACUAUAAUCCACAAGCCUUAAUUGCCAUGUCAACAUAAACCACCAUUUAGAAGAUUGUUUUCAUUUUUUAAAAAAUAAAAAAAAAUUAUUUAAAUGAUACCUUUGUGGACCACAAAGCCUCUCAAUUGAUUCCCACUCAUAUCUAGUUUCUGUAAGUUAGUAAAUGCAUCCAAAUCUGGGAAAGAAACAGAUAAGCUUCAUUAAAUCAUUCCAAAACAUGAUUAAUAUUUUUGUCUAUAGAGGCAUAAUUUGUCAAAAAAUAAUAAUUUUACCUUUCAUAUCUAUUAAUCCAUUCAAUUGAUUGAAACCUAUGCUCAAAGAUUUCAGAUUUGAAAGCUUGUUUAGAGUUGCAAAUACACUGUUAUUGAAGAGAUUUGCUUCUAAAUUAAGCUCUUCUAAAUGGGUUAACUCCAAUUUCUUACCUUCAUCUACAAAAGAUUUAACGUAAUUUCAUCAAUGAAAAAAAUGAUAUAAAUUUAAUUAUGUGUAAUAAAUUAUUUAACUGAACCCUAAAUUGUGGGUUAAUGGUUCAAGUGUUCGAAUUAUCAUUGUGUAAAAAAAACAAACUUAAUUAACGGACCAAAAUAUAAAUACAUACCUUUGAAGGAUUGAAAGUUUACCAUUUGAUUCCACCUUAAAUCCAACGUCUUCAAAAUUUUCAAAUUAUUCAAUCCUAUAUAUACUCAAGUUGAACAAAUAUUUUAAUAACUUGGCUGAAGUGAAAAGGGUAAAAGUAAGGAAGUUGAAAAAUCCCCAAAAGUGAAAGUACUAAUUUGAAACAAAUAAUUAUAAAGGGUCCUACAUAAGUAAGGACUUUAUGCUUGAAAGCCUUCAAGGAAGGAAAAUGUGUGGUUUCCAUGGGAUCUAAUUAUAAUCCUUGUUUGCUGGAUUCCACCUUUUUUAUUUGGCCAACAAAAAAUAAAUAAAUAAUAUAAAAAAAUUGUGAUUACUAAGGCUUCAACCUUGAAGUUUAAAUAGAAUUAUUCAAUCCCAAAAAUUGACCAAAAAUUUCCCUCAAACAAAACUUAACUUUAAAGUAGAAACAAAACCAGAGAAAGGCAAUCUACCUUGAAUAUGAGGCCACUUUCCUUCUAAUAGGUUGUAAGCUAGAUUUAAAUAUUGGAGAGAUGAAAAUUGGCUCAAAGAUAAUAUAAAGCUAUCAUUCAGAUGAUUUUGACUUAAGUCAAGGAACUGCAGAUUUCUGAAUGUGGAUGAUAGCUUUUCAAAACCUGCAGAGUUAAUAAUAACAAGUAAUCGCAAAAUUAACAGUAAGUUGUGUUGAAAAUAUGUGUACAUAAUAGAGUAACUAAAGAUGAAAUGAAGGGCAAAUCAAAUAUAGAACCUUCAUUUUCAACACAACCGGCUAUGCCACUCCCUGUCAAAUAAAGCCUCUUUAAUUCCUUGAAGGGAAGAAACAAAGAGGCAUUCAGAUACCAAUAAUCCAAGUAUCCGGACCUCAUAGAAUCAAGAGAGAGUCCAAUGAGUCUCCCAGUGGUGGUGUUGCACUCAAUCCCUUUCCAUUUACAACAAUCUGAACCUUUAACCUCGUCCCAGCUGUCGAACUCAUUAUAGUGAUUGAAGAAAGGUUUGAGUUGCAAGAGAGCAACUCUCUCAUGCUCCACACAAGCAUCAAUAGUGCACCACCUGCAUCCUUCUAACAGUAGCAGCACACUCAUCACUGCCAUCCUCAUAAACCACAACCAUUUGGAGUCCAUCAUCUCUCUGUUUUUGCUUCUCUCUCAAUUGUAUGCUACUUCAAACUUCUAUUGCAUUAGCCUUCAUGAAACUUGUUAUUUAAAGACAAGGACCUAAGGCUGAAGGCAACCCACUAGUCCACGCUGAAAUAGUCCACUGAAUGUGACGAUAUAUAGGCCCUACAAAGUGUGGUUGUGGAAAUAAUCUAAACACCUAUCCUCCAAAUUAAUACUAUUCCUUGAGAAAUUAUUAAAGGUCAAUUUCUGGUUUUAGUCCCUACGCAAAAUUCAUUUUGAAGGUUUAGUUUUUAUAUAAUUUAAGAUCAAAUUUUUAUAAUUAAAUUAUCAUUUACGUCUGCUUUAAAAUUAUGAAAAAAAUAUUUUAAAAAUAUAACGAACUCCAGCUACAGCUUCAAAAUAUGAUGAAGAUGUUUUAGUAGAAUAAAUCGCAGAAUCCGCCAUCUUUGACUUUUGUUUUCUUAUUGUGAGAAUAUCUUAACAUUAUAACUUUUGAAUAUAUUUUGUUAUUUCAGUUAUUAAUUUAGAUCAUAUACAAAUUUCUUUCGUGAUAGUCUCAUUUAGAUUUGAAGUUUGUUGUUGGAUUUGAAGUUACAGGAAAAUAUGUUGAAAAUUUGGGUUUAAUAUUAAAUAAAAUGGGUUGGUAAAAUCUAUUAAUGUUAGUGGCGUUUUCCCACAAAUGCCACUAUAGAACAUGAUCUUUAGCUGCGCUUUUACUACAAACAUUGCUAAAAAACAUGAUUUUUUGUGGUACUUCUAGCUAUAAAUGCCACAACAUGCUUGACUCUUUUAUAGUGUUUUUCCAAAUGAACGCCGCAAAUUUUAGCGGCGCUAUCUAAAGCGACUUUUUACUGGCACUUAUCAAAGCGCCGCAAUCUGUUUUAGCGGCACUUAUAAGCACCGCCAUAGGGCCAAAAAAACACCGCUAAAAACCUAUUUUGCUGUAGUGAUUUACGCAUUUAUAAGCCUACAAAAUAAUCACGGAUUCAAUUUUAGAGUCCGUUAUCAGCCCCUAAUCGGGACAUCAAAUUGACCAAAAAGGGCCCACAUGACCUACCUGUUCAACUUGUGUAAUUGCACACGCCUAAGUGCUCCACACGGCCUGGCACACGGCCAACUACACAUCAAUGUGGUGCACAUGAACUUGUGACGCAGAGUAGCUUUGAAAAUUGUAACCUCCCAAACCCGGCCUAGAUGUUAUGACUAGAUUGAGAAGGCUACAAUAGCCACCGAAAUGGCUAAGCUAACUUACGUUACUUUUGAAGACCUUAAAUAAACUCAUUUUAGAGAAAACCGUAGUUGUACUUUGAGUUAGCUUAAAAGCAUUCAUUCAUUAGGUCGUGUAUACUUAGGAUUCAUUUUAUUGUUGAUAGUGUUGUUUUACAAAAAUAGUUUGCUUAUCGCUCUUCUUUUAAAAAAAACUCGAUGGUAAACUAAUGUGCGGAAAAACCAUUUUUCAAGUCAUUUUGGAAACUUAGUUGCCUUAACGAUUUGUUUUUCAGAAACAAUUCCUUUUUAAUGCAGCGGAAACUAGGGAACAAUAUCAAAUUUUACUUAAGCUCGAUAUCAUGCAUUAUUCAGUUAUUAUGCUUGAGUAAUCCAUGCAUGCAAAAAUCCCAAAAGAAAAGUUACUAAGCCACAAACCACAAGUCAUUAAAAAUUACAAACCAAAACUAAUAGAAUCUGAUUAAUACUUUUUAAAAAUAGUCCGAGGUCCAAGGUGAUUCUUCGAAUGCCAAGUCCGAUCCUAAUUUUGAGGUUUACACAUUCAUUUGACAUACUCAGCACGUCCUCAAUAAUCACAUACUUUUAGUAAAUGAAAACAAUGUUCCAAACUUUCAAAUUACCAUUGUGUUGGUAUUAAUCAAUAUCGUUCAAUUUCGCAUACUUUAUGAAUUUUGAUUAUGCAUAAAUAGCACCCUAUACAACAUAUAUGUAUAUAAUAUAUGCCAAGAAAAUUUAGAAAUACAAUAAAUCAACCUAAAUGAAAUCAUUCAUCAUCAUUUUUCAAGAUUUUAAAUUAUAUUUUCUCAUUCCCAUUGUCAGUGUAUUUCAACUUGUAAACAAAGAUGAUGGCUACUAUAAAUGGAAUCAUUGAUAUAUCAUGAUAUUUGAAUUUGACAACUAUUUUUAUACAUUUUAUUACCAAAAGUAAGGGUAUUAAUUUUUUAAUGUUUAAUUGUGGUUUAGAGUUAAUUUAUUUAAAGUUAAUUGUUAAUAUUAUUAAAUUCAAAUUUUCGUAAUUGUAUUAAUAGAAUAAAUUUAGUGUUAAAAGUGAGUUUAUUCAAUUUUAUAUUUAAUUUGUUAAAUGUAAUCUAAUGAUUUUUUUGUGCUCUAGUGUUGAUUUAAUUAAAGUUAAUUAUUAAUAUUAUUAGGUAACUAUGAGUUCUCAUCAAAUUAAUCCUAAAAUUCAAAUUAAAUGCUAAAAAAUUAACAUUAUUACUUUUAAAUAUCAAAAUGUAUAAAUUUUAUUAAAUAUAGAUACUAAAUCAAACAAAAAUUAUAAAUUUUGAGUCGUUGCAAAUUUUUCCAACAUUUUUGGGGUCUUGAAUUUGAUAUGCAAAAAGUUGGUGGGAAUUUUAAGUCAGCAAAUCCUUUAAAAGGGCAAUGACAUAAUUAAUUGCAUUACUUUAAUGGUUGAAUUUUCAUAGCUAAUAUGUAUGCAAAAAGUUGGUGUGAAUUUUAAGUCAGCAAAUCCUUUAAAAGGACAAUGACAUAAUUAAUUGCAUUACUUUUCAAAGAUCGACUACUGACUUUGGUGAACUUAUUUAUAGAAGGUUAAAUUCUGCUGUUGGUCACUGUACUUUACGAAAGUUGUGAAUUUAGUCUCUAAACUUCAAUUUGAUCAAUUUUAGUCUCUAUACCUUUUGAAUUUUGAAAUUUUAGUUCUAACCCAAACAGUAGCAGUUAUCAAUUUGAUUAAAUUCUAUUACUAUCGAUUUAGUCCAAACUUUCUGAAUUUUGAAAUUUUAGUCUUGAUGCAAAUGACAAUCACUGGUCUAUUAAUUGGAUUUUUAGUAAAUAAUAUGUGAAAAUAACAAGUUUGUUGACACCAUUUUUUUGAUAAAAAUGGGGUCGACUUAGAUUUUGAAAAUAAAAACGAAAAUGGGAGUCGCCACCGAUCCUUUUUGAUAAGGUGUGAUCGGGUCACCUCAAAAAGUGAUUGUUUUUAAUAAGCGAUUUGAUUUUAUUAAAACAACGAUUUUAGUCCACGAAAUUUAAAAAAAUGGGUUCGGGAGUCGGUUACGUUCAAGGAAGGAUUAGCACCCUCGUAACGCCCAAAAUUGGUACCUAGUUGAUUAAUUAAUAUCUUAAUGUCGAGAAUUGAAAACUCGAAAAGAAUUUAAAAUACAAUCAUUCCUUUUUAUUAAUGUUAAAUUUAUAAACGAUGCUUGGAUAAAUCGAGGUGGAUGCUAAAGACCUUCUUGUCUCAGAGUAAAUAAAAUGUCAAUCCAGUACGUUAGGACACAACAUUUUAAAUCCUCGAGAACAAGCUUAUCUUUUUAUUUUCAAAACUCGUGCAUUUAAAUUUCAAAAGGAUAUUCGAUUAUUUGGAUCAAAGGAGAUAAAUCGAAACCCAGUGAGUUAGGGCACGAUCAUUCAAAUUUCCCAAAUACAGAAUAUCACUUUUAUUAUUUUUUUAGGAAAAUCCUCAUCUCGGGAAAACAACAUGUCAUAUCCAAUGCGUUAGGACACAACGUAUUAGAACCCAAUACGUUAGGGCUCAAUCUUCUCGAAGAUCCAAAAUACCGAGUAUUACCCUUAUUUUCAAAAUUUUCUCUUUAUUACGAAUUUGAGUAAAAAUUGUAAAUGACAGAAUAACAAUUAUGAUAAUGUAAAUAAAUAAAUAAAUGAAUAGAAUGAAAAAAAGUAAAAAAGACAUAUAUGUAUGUGCAUAUAUAUAUAUAUAAAUUAUAAAAAAUAUAUAUGAUAUUAUAAAAAUGUAUGCAUGUAUAUAUAUUAAAAGUAUAUGUAUAUGUGUAUUUCGAAAGUAUAAAGUAUAUAAGAUAUAUAUAUGUAUAUGUUUAUAAAUUAUAAAAUAUAAAACAUAUAAGUACGUAUAUAUAUAUAAAUGAAUCAUGAAAUGCACGUGUAUAUAUGUAUAUAUUAGAAAAUGUAUGAAUAUAUAACAAAAUUUGGAAUUAAGGAUGUAAAUGAGUGAAUAAUAAUAACAAUGAAUUAAAAUACAAAAUCAAUGAUGCCAUACAAUAGUAUUAAUAAUAUCAAAAUAAUUAAUUUAAUGAUAAAAUAACUAAAACAACAAAUAGAGGAUUAAAUUAGAAACUAAACUAAAAUUUGGGGUCAAAUAAAAAUAACUUAAAGAGGGUGACUCGGGACUAAAACAAAAUGCGCUGAAGGAGCAAGGGACUUCCAGGGAAAUAUUCCCUAGUCCUGAAACGCAGCACUUCAGCAAGGAUUAAAAUGAAAUCAGAAAAAAAUUUAUGGGCCAAAAUGAAAGAAACAAAAGGGACAAAUUGCACUGAACUAUAAAAGAGGAGGGGCUGAACGCGCAAAUAGCCCCUCCAGGCAUAACACGCGGAUCCUGACCGCAUUCGGGUCGGGUCUCGGAUCGGCUCCUGGGUUUUAUGCCAAACGGUGCUGUUUUGGCCAUGGAUGCUAAGGUCCAAAACGUCGCCGUUUUUAAACUAUAUAAACACUCAAAAAAUCAACAAAAAAAAAAUUCAUCCCUUAUUUUUUUCAAAAAAACUGAGAGUCUCCCUAACUCUCUCUCAACCCCCAUCCCUCAUAUUCGGCCGACGACCUUCUUAGGCCUCCGUCGCGCCACCUCGUAGCCGGAGGUCGGCGCCGGAAAUGAAAGGCCAUUAAACCCCUUUUGUGGAGUCCUUGAGAGCCAGGCUCUCUCAACCCGCGAGGAGUGAAACAAAAGGGGGACCCUCGACCUUGGCAGACCCGACUCAACGAUGGAGGAGAGAGCCUCUGGCGGCACAGUCACGGCCAACUCCAGUGAGUCACCCUUCCCUUUUUGUCCUUUCUUUUAGUACUAGUUUUAAAAUCAGAUUUUUUAAAAAAAUGAUAAAUAAAAUAAGUAAAUAAUUCAAAAAAAAAGAAUCGGAGAAGACAGCAACCUUUGUUUCUAUUUCUGAAAUUCGUAAAAAAAUGACAGACGAAGAAUACAAUGUUAAGAUUUUGGCCUUUAUAGCCGAUUUAAAAACCCCUAAAUUUUUAUUUUUUGUCGUUUUGUUGUUUGGCCUGUUCUGCUGUUGCGUGUGGUUUACUGCCUUGCAGGUGUCAGAGGCUGACGGUCGGUGAUAGGCGAGUAACGGCCUGCGUGAGGAGUGGCAGAGGAGGCAGAACAUGCGGCGCUGGGCAUUGGGCAGAGGCGUGCGGCGCUUUGGGGUUUGCUCUUGGCUGAAAUUGUUUAAGUUGUGGGGCAGUCGAGCCACUAGGGUUUUUUUUUAUUGGGACGUUUGGGCCAUUGUAAUUUUGGGUUUAAGUUUGCUGUAAAUGGACUGGAAUAGUUUUUAUUUUUUAGGCCCGGGCCAAAAUUGGGCCUUACAAAGUCGAUAUGACAUUACACAAAUGAUAAUAUGUUUGUCACACCAAAUUUUAGAGAUAGCAGAACUUAAUGAAUUUAACAAAUAUCGUUUACGGUGAUUGAAAUCUUAAAAUUUGAAAAGUACAAUAACUAAAAUAUCAAAUUAACUUAUAGGGAUUAAAUCCACAACUUCAAUAAAAUACAGGAAUUAAUGGUAGAAUUUAACCUUUAUAUAAUAAUUUCCUUGGUGAAAAAAACGCACAUUAUCAUUUCCUUGAAUGAACUUCAAUUUGUCCAUUGAGAUAUAAUCGGAGGGAGUGGAAUAUAUAUAAGAUAAUAUUUGAUGUAUUCGGUAAAUGGAGAAUAUUAAAUAGAGUGAGCAAGCCAUUCGCCUCACGGAACACAUUAACGAAAGACACAAGCUUAAUACAGUCACUAAAUCCAUCAAUUUCAUUAACAACCUGCUAAUAAUUCAAGACAAUUGUUGGGUCCGGAUGGAUUAUAUUUUAAAAUUUUCUUUCAAAAUACAGAAGUUCCUUUGACAAAAAUGAAAAUAUUAUUUAAUUAUAGGGUUAGUAAUUAGUACACUGAUAAUCUACUUAAUGCUAUUGAUUUUUUUUUAAUAUUAUACAACACCUUUAUAAAACACGUGUCAACCCUCUGACUCUGCUUAUGAAAUUUAAAAACUUCAAUGACAAUGUACCAACUAUUAUUCUUAAUUAUUAUACUAUUCAUGAUUUAAGGACAAAGAUCAAAUACAAUAUUUGCUUAAAAAUCUCUAAUAUAUAUGUAUAUAUAUAUAUAUAUAUAUAUAUACAUUUGCUCACUUAUUGUGAUGUAAUAUAGCACCAUCCAGCUAACCCUAGCUUUCUAGCAAGUAGUCGGAGGAAAUUAUUGAGAAAAUAUCAUUAAAUAUAUCAACAAUAAUUGCACUAACUUUCCGAUGUUAACUACUGACCUUUGCGUCAACCUUGAGCUUAUAUAGGCCCCCUACAAUAAUUUAGGCUAUGGAAAUAAUCUUACAAUUAAUGCCUGAGAAAUAAUUAUAGAUCAAUUUAUAGUUUUAAUCCCUAUAAUUACUCAAUUGAAUUAAAAAUUUUGUUAUUCUUAUUUAAUUUAAUUUGAUAUAUUCUGUUCCUCUUAUUAAUGUUAAUGUUUAGAGUCCCCGCUUGUACAUUGGUGAUUAGGUCUCUCACCAUUAAAUUAUUCUCUUAAGAACCUAACCUGCAAAUUCAUAACAUAAAAAAUUUACAGUCAAAUGUAAUCACACAAAUGACAUUCCUCACUUAAACAGAUUAAGUCGUUGCAAAUAUCUAAACAUAAUCAAAGUCGUCGUUAUGGCCCCAAGAGAAGGCACGUUAACUUGUCUCUCUCACACAUAGGAUGAAAUUAGUCUAAACCUAACCUUGGUAGAGCCGACCAUGUCGGGCAGACCACCCUACAUAAAUCUGAUUAUUUUAUCAUAGUUUAUUCAUCACUGAAGGAAGUAUGCAAAAUUAGGCAUACCAUUUAUCCUCACCUCUCUCGCUGACAAAAGAUUCAUGUUAAGUAUAUUCACCCUACAUAAAUUAUCAAGAGGAAUCACAGAUUUAAGGACCGUGGAAAAGAAUUCCAGAACCAGUUAUAUACAAGCAGGGCCUAUGACAUCCCCACUAAUUCUCAAUCAUAUAAAAUAAUAUAUAAUUAAUUCGUCUGGAAUGUUUAAGGCAUGGUGGUGAAUAUAUCAUGAGCGAUGUUGCUGAGUUUCUUCUGAAGAAUUGGCUAGCUAUUAGUGUCUAAAGGAUCUUUAGUUAUAUGGGGCUUAUGUUUCGGUUGCUUGAACAAUUGCUUUUCAGAGGGCAGAAUAGUAGAGGGGGGUUUUGGGGGUCUGGUGGUAUGGAGUUAUGAUGUUAUCAAUAUGAGAUUUUGGUGAUUUGUACUUGAUAAAGGGACACUUUUCGUGAGGGAUUGCUACAUUUUGCAGAUUAUAACAUUGUUUACAAGUGCUUAAAAUGUGUAAUAAUUUGAUCGAGAGAAAAAAUGACCAAAACAAAUGUUCUCAGCAUUUUUGCUUCAUUUAGAACUUGUAAUUAAUUUUUUUUAUCAGAGAAGUUGUAAUUAAUUGGAUUUGGAAUGAAUUGAUAAUAUCCUUACUAUUUCACCUUUUUUAUAUGUUUGGCGUGUGAGUAUGAUACAGAUUGAACUGGUUUUUAAAGUAGAAAUAAAACGAUAACAAACCAAAACAUUCUGGUUUUCAAAAUUUUGAAUCCAAAUCAAUCGAAUUAGUUUAAUUAUAAUUGAAUGUUUUAUGUGUUAUGAUGAUGAAGGAAGUUGAUGAGGUGACUUGCUUCAUCUUUCAAAAUAUGAGGUUCGUUUGAAGUUCUCUUUGACACAUCUUUACUAUUGUUUUUUAAUAACAAAUGAAAAGUCAAUUUAAAAAACAAAAAUCCAAACCAAUGAAUUUCUUUUAUACAUAUAAGAUAAGCUUACUGCAAAGCUCUUGUUUUUUCAAAAUAAAAUUUUGUUUUUGUUUUAUUAAUUUUGUAUGAAUCAAAUGAAGUUUAAUUUUUUUAAGGGUAAAUUAAACCAACAGUAACUCAACUUUGAUGCAGCUGACAAAAUAGUUGAUUUGGUUUCAAUUCAGUCACUCAACUUUCAAAAAAUAACAAAUCAGUCACUAACGUUACCAAAAAGUGACAAAUCAAUCACCCAUUAACAUUUUCCGUUACAGACCUAACGGGACAGGUGACAUGGCUAGUUAACUUGCCACGUUGACAUGGCAAUGCAUUUAAAAUUGGUCUAAUUAAGAAUUUGGUCAUUGUACAUUAUGAAAACAUAAAAAUUAUUUCAAUUGAGUAUCAAUAUUAAAUCUUGUCCAUUGACCCAAAAAUCAUCAUUUCAACAAAUUGUAUGUAAGAAAUUAGUGAAAAUCAACAAUUCAGUAAUUUAUAUCAAAAUUGAGGACUAGCUUUUCAUUUUUUUGUAAAUUACAUGGAUGACAUUCACAAUUAGACCUAAAUAGUGACAAAUUACAAAUUUAAACCCUAAAUACCUUUGUUCAGAGGAUCCGUAGCCAACAGAAUCAAUAAAACCGAUGGAGAUGAAACUCAUGCAUUUGGCGUGAAGAUGAAACUGGACAGAGUAGAACUCGCAUUGUUCGUCACCGUUGCAGGUGUCACAGUCACACGAGAAUCGCAUCGACAUGGCGCGUCGGCUAGUGAGAGGGAUUAGAUCAAGUCGAUGGGCAAUGAACUUGUCGUUGACGACGGAAGAGUUAACUUCAAUUUUGACGAGGUCGAUGGCUAUGUUGGGAACCUCGGCUAUCAUGACACGAUGGAGGGCAUUGGCCAUGGAGGCGUUGGUGUCAUGGCAGCAUAGUUGUCUUUGAGUUCUCGGAUUUUGACCCUUGGGAAUCGCUAGUAUGAAGCUCCUUCCAUUUUCUCUUCUUCUCCAUUUCUUCUCUUCUUCUUCUUCUUCUUCUUCUUCUACUGCCCAAGGCUCUUAAAUGGGGUUGUUUAAAUGACAGCUAGCCUACCGUUAAAUGUCAUGUCACUUUUCUGUUACAAACGUAACGGAAAAUGGUUAAAAAGAUUGAUUUGUUAUUUUUCAAAAAUUAAGUGAUUGAAUUGGAACUAGAGUGACUGUUUUGUCAAUUGCAUCAAAGUUGAGUGAUUGUUGUUGCAAUUUACCCCUUUUUUUUUAAUAGAGAUAAGCUUUGUGGUGGAAAUUUGUUAGGAAAGGAUGAUUGUAGGAAUGGUCCACAAAAUUAAUUGCAUUCCCUUUUCUUGAUGAAUUCUUAUCUUUGGGUCAACUCUUAGCUUAAAUACACUGCUAAAUUUAUUUUAGGUUGUACAAUAUAAAUGGAGCAAUUGAUGUCAGGAGAUAAGUUGGAAGUACAAUUAAAUUUUUUCAUAAGAGGAGAUGGGAUGAGAAGAUUUGAACCCAACAAUUAUUGGAAUUUAGAUUAUAAAAUUGGCGUGAAAUCAUGAAUUUAGAUUAUAAAAUUCUUUCCAUUUUAAUAAUCAUUUUAGAACUAGUUUGGUUUCCAAUCUAUAUUUUGUGUUGUGUUUUGUUUAUGUCAAAUUUUAAAGUAAAACUUUGAAAGUUAAAAUACAUUCUAAGUCCCUAUACACUUUGUACUUUUAGAAUUUAGUUCUCCUAGUUUUUAUUUUUAUGAAUUUAGUCUUUCUAUUUUUUGGUUUUCAAAAUUCAAGUCCCCAAUUAUUUUCACUGUUAAAAUUCUUCUAUUAAACUCACUAGUGUCACCUUUUGAAAUUACCAAAAAAAAAAUCAUUUUGUAGUCAUGUAAUAAUAAAGAAUAACGUUAAAAAUAAUGAUGUGGAUUUUUAUUUAAAAUACUCAUCCAAACUGAUCAUGAUAAAAUGACUUUUUUUUUUGUUGGAAUAGUGUUUUUAAGAAAAAUUGACGUCAAUAUUUUGAUUGGAAUAGUUUACAAUGUUAAUUAUUUAGACUAACUAAUGACAUUACAAAAAUAAAAUAAUGAAAUUAUGCCAAAAAUUAAGGAAUAUAAAUUAAAUCUCAAGUUUUAACAUAAUAUAGGGGCUAAUACUAAAAUUUGACCAUUAAUUUCCAUGUAAUAUAAAAUAAAAAUAAAAAAGUUGUGUGAAGCAGCCCAAGCUUAUGACAGAAAAAAAAAAACACGGCCCAAAGCUAAGGUUACGUGUUAGAAAGGGAAUGUCAUGAUAGGGGUGAGUAUUCGAUCAAGUCGAGUUAAAUUGAGUCAAAAAAGUUUAAGUUAGUCGAGUUUACGAAUCCUAUUUUAGUAACCGAACUCAAUUUGAAUUUUUUUUCUGAAUCAUAUUGAGUCAAAAAGUUUCGAGUCAAGUUGAGUCGAGCUAAAGAAUCCUAUUAUUUAUACUCAAAACUUAUAUUUACAUGGACCGAUUAUUUAACUAGUAGAUGAAGUACAAGAUUAUUUAACUACAUAAACAAUAUAAUGGUUUUGCCUUUUAACUUAAUGAGUAAAUAUUUAUCAAAACGAUAUAGUUUUGUCUUUUAAUUUAAUAGUUUUGACUUUUAACUUUGGAAAAGAUAAAUUCAGAUUUUCAGAUAACUCGAAUUGUGUAAUUCAUAUUCAAGUUGAAUAUAAAAACUUAAUUUUUUUAUUCGGGUUGAUCCGAAUAACUUGAUUAACUCAAAUAACUCGAACUAUUUAAUUCAAAAUUUAAAAUUUUUAUCAAAAUUUUCAGAUCAAAUCGAAUUUUGCUCACCCCUAGUAUUGGACAUUAUUUUUAUAUACGGGUGUAUAUAUAUGUGUGCGUGUGUGUGUUUGAUGUGAUUUCCUUGUGAGUUCCAUCUAUUUUUAGAAGUUUUUCCACGUAAAAUAUGUGUAUUUAAUAUUUUCAAUUCUUUUAUUAUUCUACUUGCUCGUUGCAAAUACGUUUGAUUCACAACAUUUUAACCUAAACUUAAUUGUAAAUGAUAAGAGAUAUUUUACGAUUAAAUAAAAAAAUUUAAACCACUAAACCAUUACCCUAAUAUGUCAAAACACAUGCAUUUUUUAAUUUCAAAAUUUAUGAAUUCCGAAGUAAAGAGCAUACGAUAUUUAUAUUAAUGUAAGAAAUGUAGGCUUGCUAAGUUUCGCAAAAUCAUAUUACACUUUUAAUUGAAUAUAAUGGUGGGAUGAUUCAAUUAUUAAAAACUAAGUUCGGGCAAAAAUGUAAAAAUAAUCUAAAAUUAAUUGAAUUAUUAUAAUAAAUUUAUAUAACUUAUGGAGUGAACCAAAUCAUGACAUAAUAUCAAAAAUAAUUAAGACAUGUCAUAUUACAAAUAAUAAAAACUCAACUUUAUAAGCAUAUCAAAAUUUAUUAUCAUGGCGUAUAAUAUGUUAUGAAAAAAGAAAAAAGAAAAAAGAAAAAAGAAAAAGAAGAGAGACAAUCGCUUCAUCAUGAGAUAUAAGCCCUUGAAACCAAAAGUUAGUUGAAGCUGUUAGGAUCGACUCAAUUAAGCAACAAGUAACAAAAAAUAGUGGAGUAAAUUGAGAAAUUGAACACACAAAUUUAACGUGGAAAACCCCUCCAAAGAGGAUAAAAACCACGGGCAAAAAUAAUUUUACUAUAAUGACAAAAGAAUGAAGAGUACAAAAGAUGGAGAUAAAAAGCUAAACCCCAAAAAACCCCAAAAACAAAGAACCCUCAAAACGUAAACACAAUGUAACGCCCCAGAAUUUUUAUUUUUGUUCUUGCAAAGGUAUAACACAAUUGUGUAUCUACUUUAGUGGUUAAGUGUUUUGGGUGUAUGAGAGGUCUCAAGUUCAAGCCAAGACUUGGCGAAAUUUUGGUAUUUUUAUGAAUAAGCUCUAUCUUUGGUCAGUAGGCUUUUAAGUAAGAGUCGACAAAUAAUUAAAAGAAUGAGCUUGUUCGUUUGGUGGAUAAGUGGAGUGUUGGUGUGAAGGAGGUUUUGUGUUCAAUUCUCUAUGGUGGCAUGGAGAUAGUAUUUUUGCUCCAAUUUUGGCUAAGAGUUGUGUUUGGGCAAAAUUCUGAGUAGUUGUGUUUUAGUGGGUUAAUAGGGAGUGAUUUUUGGAAAUAAUGGGGGAGAGGUUAUCAGAAAAUAAUCUGAUUGUCUUUUUAUUGCAUAAAAAAAGUAGAGUUUCGGUUUUCUCUCCAAUUACCCAAACUUUUUCUGACGUUUUCUUCUUUUUUUUCCCUCCGCUGUCGAUUCUUUCCCCUAGUUGUUGCCAAAAUUUCCAUUAUUUUUUCCCCUUCCAUUUCUUUCUUUUAUUUUCCAAUUGAUUUGGUUGUUUAUCGUUGGUUGCGUGUGUUCGGUAAGUAACGGUUUUGUCUAUUGUUAAUUGUUCUUAGUUAAUCUCUGAAAGGGGGAUUCCUUUUUGGUGUUUCGGAGUUAAUCAAGGGGCUAGUGGUUAUGAAUCGAUGCUGUGAUUGUGUGAAGUCAUGAUUACUCAAGCGAGGUAAGGGUUUUGUUAGGUUUUUAGUUGAGUUCCUUCCAAAAUUGGUUAAUUAAAAAUGAAUUAAGUGAUUAAUCUGGAGAUUUGUUGGUCGAUUUUUAGGUUAUGGAGGCUUAGGAGUGCUUACGCAUUAGAAAUGAUACCAGGUGUGUACCCGAAAAGCAGAAAAUGAGAUUCGGCGAAAAGCAUAAAUUGCUUGCUAUUUGGACAGCAGCAGUGGGCUAACUUUAAAAAAUCAUCAUAAAUUGUGAAAAUUGAAUUAAAGGAUGAAAAAAGUAUGGAAUUAAAUAUUAUUGAGUCUAGUUUCUCAUAGAGAAAUGGUGUAAGUAAUGGAAUUGUAAAUCGUGAGAUAUAAUAAAUUUUGUGAGACAAGGUCAGAAUGAAUUCAGGUUUCCCUUUUUUGACUUUGGAAAAUCAUUAAAAAUUGUAUAAAAAUGAUUAUGGGUUAAAAUUUAUAUGAUUAAAAUUCUUAAUGAGUAUAUUUUCAAGAGAAACAAACCUUAACAUCAUCUGAAUCUCGUACUAAGAGAUAAUUAAUUUUUAGAGAAGAAGGGUCGAAAUUAUCAGACAGCAGAACAGGGACAAUUUUGAAGAAUUAACUGUACUCAUUGGCUAAACCAAAAAUUCUAAAAAUUUUAAGGUAAGAAGAUAUGUGAGUCUGUUUUUCGGGAAAAUCAAGCGGAUCUUAAUUUUGAAUUCUGUAGCUCUAGUUAUAAAUAAUUUAGUGACAAUGACUCAAGUAGACAACUCUGAAUGAUCAUAUUAGUAAAUAGUGGAAACAUAUAUGAAUAUUUAGCUAGCAUGGGUUACAUUAAAAAUGGAUCACACGGCCAAGGCCAAUUUGGGCCGAGUGGGCCACGCGGGCACAUGGGCGUGUGGGUCCAUUUUUACCAAAAUGUUUCUAAGGCUGCACAGGUUGCCCAAGUCGACUGUGAACCUACUGUAAGGUCGGUAAGUGCUACUUAAACCCCUAAAUGUGUGAAAUUGACUGAAUGAUAUUUGUACUGAGCAUGUUAAUAUCUAAACUGAAUAUAUGUACUGAAAUUGCAUAAUAGCAUAUCAUCCAUGGUAUGUUGCAUUGCAUUGGGUUGAGGGUUGUUAUUUGGAGGAAAUGUACUAAAAGGCUUUAAGCCUAAUUUACUGGAAUCUUAGCUACAAACUACUGUUUUGUGCCGCAAUAUUCAAUACUACUUGAAGUGUAGGAAUGGGUGGGUUGAUUAUAUCCCCACAUGGUGUGUAGAGGCUGGUUGGCAAAUGGAGUUUUAGUAAGCACAAGCAUCGUCAUCUGUCCAUCAUAACUUGGAAGACAACAAAGAUACUCAUAAAAUAGAUCUGCAAACUGAAAAGAGAGAAGUCAUGUGGAGUGAAUAAGAAGAAGAAAGAAAAAAAGGUUGGUGGGAGGAAGAAAAAGGGUCGCGAUAGCCAAUCCGAAGGUUGUCAAUGCCAUUGGGCAAAAUAAAACAUAAUAAACAAACGGCUUGGAGAAAAAAAUUAAGAAAGAAGAAAAAAUUUAGGCAAAAUUUAUAUUAAUGUAAGAAAUGUAGACUUAUUAUGAUAUUACAUUUUUUAGUGUGAUCAUUCAAUUAUUAAAAAUGUAUUUAUAACAAAUUAUGUAAAAUUUUAUAUAAGCAUAUAAUAUGUUAUGCAAAGAGAAUCACUUUUCUUAGUUGAAUUGUUAUAACACAUUAUACAAAAUAUAUUUUAAAUUAAAGCAUAAUGUGAAUACGAUACCAACCAACAAAUUAAAUUCGAUGAUUUAUGGAUAAUUACAUUUAUUACUCAAUUUAAUUUAAUUCAAAGAGCUAUUGAAUACACAUAACAAUUAAUUAUGAUUAAACUUUAAAUUUCACAGAAAAUAAAAAGAAAUAGAUUGUUGAAAAUGAUAAAAUGGAAAGAUAAAGCUACAAACUUCCUCCCCACAAACCUAAGAGCUUUUUAUUCAAAAUGCAGAAAUCAACAAAAUAGUCCUCACAAUCCAACUUAGCAUAGUAAAACAAUUAGGUGGGGAAAUCAAAUAGUAAAUUCCUUUUUCCUUGAAUCAACACCAACCGACUUUGUUGAAAUCUUCACUAUAGCUAAUCACAUUGCCUGAAGAUGUGAUAUGUAAGAAAAUUGGCCAUUGUUGAGUAACGACAGGUUGUGAUGCACUUUCCAAUAAAAGAAAACCAAACACUUCGCCAAUAAGGAUUUAUGUAAAGAACAACAAAAAUUGUCAAGACCACAACUAUAUAAGAAACCAGGAAGCUCACACAAAAAUCAUAUGUGUCUAGCAAACUGUCCUCUCCUUCAUCAUCUAACGAAUUUGAUCUAGUUGAUGGUGCAUCUGGUUUGGAGCAACUUUUAUGCAAAAUAGUUCCACAAAGAAAAGGGUUUCCCUCGUAACUACUUUCAAUAAAGGUCCCAAAUUGAGCUUUUGGUUCAGGAAUACUACCUGACAAGUUGUUGUGUGCCACACUAAAAACUUCCAAAGAGUUCAACUCUACCAACUGAUUGGGGAUUUCACCACUCAAGUUGUUGUAAGAAAGGUCCAAACUCUCAAUUUGAUGAAGUUUUGAGAAUGAUGAAGGUAUAACUCCGAUCAACUUAUUGUGUGACAAGUUUAAAGAAUAGAUUUCACUUAAGUUCCCUAAUUCUGGUGGGAUAUGACCAGUUAAGUUGUUGCAAGAUAAAUCAAUCCCGGUCAUAUAUGCAAGGAUGUUGCCCUCGUACGAAUACAACCCACUCUUUGUUGUGAACUCUAUUACUUCUUCUAAAUUCUAUUACUUCUUCUAAGUAGCUGUCAGGGUAGUAAGGAUUUAUAUCCCUUUCCAAUUUUCUCAUCGCAAUGGAUGUUGAUUCAUCCUUUUCUGUAAAUGGAAGAUAGAACCCAGUUGCUAGACUCUCUUUCUCUUUCAUUGGAAGAGAUAAAUUUCCCAAACAAGAAGGUAUAGGACCAGAAAACAUAUUUUGAGAAAGAUCUAUGAUGCUUAAAGAAUACAACUUGCAUAACUGAAUUGGAACUUUGCCAUGAAAAUGAUUAUCUUUCAAGAGAAGAACACUCAAAGAAGAAAGUGUGUCAAUCCAUUUUGGCAUGCUACCUGUCAAAUUUUUUUCUCUAAGAUCUAAAGUCACUAGUGAAGAGCUAUUAUAAAAAGCAAGUGAUAGUGGACCUCUCAGUCUAUUCCCGUGGAGGUGGACAUGCUUUAUGUUUGGUGGAUUAAAACAUGACGGUAUAGAGCCAGAUAAAUUAUUUUGAGAAAGAUCCAAAAACUCCAACCAAUUCAAGUUGCAAAAUUCCAUUGGAAUAGAACCCUCGAAACCAUUGUUGGACAAAGCCAAUCUCAAUAAAAAUGAUGCAUUCCCUAUCCAUCUUGGGAGCUUUCCAUGCAACUGGUUGUUACUGAGAUCAAUAUCGCUUAGUGAAUUUGGAAACUCAAAAGUAGACACAUCAACAUUUGUCACCUCUCCUGAAAAUUUAUUUCCAUCCAAAUAUAAAUUCUGCAGCCCAUUUGCUUUGAGAAUCGCAGGAACUACAUUUCCACUGAAGUUGUUAUUUGAUAGUCUCAAAAUGGUCAGUGAGCCUUUCGUGAUCAACUCUUCUGGUACUUUUCCAUACAAUUGAUUGUUUGAUAGAUCUAAAAUUGAUAAAUCCUUCAUGCCACUUAAACAAAGUGGGAUAUUACCUUCAAAAGCAUUCUUGGAUAAGAAUAACCGACUCAAAUGUGGAAAAGUUGAACAUAUACUGGUCGGAAUUUGACCUUGUAUUUUGUUUUCAGAGAUGUCAAUUGAAGAUACAUUAGAAAUAAGAGCUGACGAAAAUGAGAGAGGACCUGUAAAAGAAUUGCCCUUCAAGAUGAGAUCUUCUAACUUUGUGUUGUUUUCUAACAACCAAGUUGGGACCGUUCCACUGAAAUUGUUAUGAGAAAGAUCCACAUAUCUCAAGUCAUAUUGGUAGUAAAGGAAGGUAGGAAGCUUACGACUGAGCUGUUGAGAUGUUAUGCACUUUGACAAACUGAUGACUUCCAAUUGGAACUUUGGGAUUGAGGUAUAAAAGGAAGGUUCCGUUACCAUCUUGUUUUCAUUACUCAAGAGGGCUUUGAUAUUUGAAAGGUUUGCAAAUGGUGCGAAUGACAACGGAAUUUGAAAAUGGUUUCUUGAAAUAUCUAACACACGAAGAGCUGUCAAGUUACUAAAACAAUGAGGAAGCAUCCCCUCCAGUGCAUUCCCACUCACAUCCAAUACUUCAAGAUUCCUUAGAUCAC
rnacentral:lncRNA from 1 species